AGUGAACGCUGGCGGCAGGCCUAACACAUGCAAGUCGAACGGCAGCACAGUAAGCGUUUGCCCUUACGGGUGGCGGGUGGCGGACGGGUGAGGCAUGCAUAGGAAUCUUCUUUUUCGUGGGGGAUUACGUAGGGCAACUUAUGCUACCACCGCAUAUGUCGUACGGGUGAAUGCAAGGGUUAUUGGCACUUUUGCUGUCACUUAUAGAUGAAGCCGUGUCGCAUUAUCUAGUUGGUAAGGUAACGGCUCACCAAGGCAACGAUGCGUAGCCGACCUGAGAGGAUGAUCAGCCACACUGGAACUGAGACACGGUCCAGACUCCUACGGGAGGCAGCAGUGGGGAAUAUUGGGCAAUGGGCGCAAGCCUGAUCCAGCCAUGCCGCGUGAGUGAAGAAGGCCUUCGGAUUGUAAAGCCCUUUUAUUAGGAAAGAAAAGCUGCGGAAGAAAACCCCGCUGUUCUGACGGUACCCAAUGAGUAAGCACCGGCUAACUACGUG
rnacentral:rRNA from 1 species